rnacentral:tRNA from 1 species
CGGGAUGUAGCGCAGUUUGGUAGCGCAUCUGCUUUGGGAGCAGGGUGUCACAGGUUCAAAUCCUGUCAUCCCGA